rnacentral:rRNA from 1 species
UGGGGAAUCAUAGACAAUGGGCGCAAGCCUGAUCUUGCCAUGCCGCGUGAGCGAUGAAGGCCUUAGGGUUGUAAAGCUCUUUCACCGGUGAAGAUAAUGACGGUAGCCGGAGAAGAAGCCCCGGCUAACUCCGUGCCAGCAGCCGCGGUAAUACGGAGGGGGCUAGCGUUGUUCGGAAUUACUGGGCGUAAAGCGCGCGUAGGCGGGCUGUUAAGUCGGGGGUGAAAUCCCGGGGCUCAACCCCGGAACUGCCCUCGAUACUGGCAGCCUGGAGUUCGGGAGAGGUGAGUGGAAUGGCGAGUGUAGAGGUGAAAUUCGUAGAUAUUCGCCGGAACACCAGUGGCGAAGGCGGCUCACUGGCCCGAUACUGACGCUGAGGUGCGAAAGCGUGGGGAGCAAACAGGAUUAGAUACCCCCGUAGUCC